UUAUCCGGAUUUAUUGGGUUUAAAGGGUGCGUAGGCGGCCUUUUAAGUCAGCGGUGAAAGUCUGUGGCUCAACCAUAGAAUUGCCGUUGAAACUGGGGGGCUUGAGUAUGUUUGAGGCAGGCGGAAUGCGUGGUGUAGCGGUGAAAUGCUUAGAUAUCACGCAGAACCCCGAUUGCGAAGGCAGCCUGCCAAGCCAUGACUGACGCUGAUGCACGAAAGCGUGGGGAUCAAACAGGAUUAGAUACCCUGGUAGUCCACGCAGUAAACGAUGAUCACUAGCUGUUUGCGAUACACUGUAAGCGGCACAGCGAAAGCGUUAAGUGAUCCACCUGGGGAGUACGCCGGCAACGGUGAAACUCAAAGGAAUUGACGGGGGCCCGCACAAGCGGAGGAACAUGUGGUUUAAUUC
rnacentral:rRNA from 1 species